UCCACUAUAACAACAGCCUCUUGGUCUUCGACCGUGUGGAUGAAACCACCACUCUGGAACAAGCCACACUCAUUGAAAGUGCCUGAAGAGUACCCUAUGCCAGCCCAAGAUUUAUUGUCUUCCAGCUUAAUCAUUUGUCCUAAACCAGUAGUUGCACCAUGCUCAAUGGCCAACUUCGCAUCAUUGUAGGACGCAAAUGAAGAAGUUCAUUUCCUU
rnacentral:lncRNA from 1 species